UACGGAGGGUGCAAGCGUUGCUCGGAAUUAUUGGGCGUAAAGGGUAGGUAGGUGGUCUUAUUUGUCUAGGGUGAAAUCCUUGAGCUUAACUCAAGAAGUGCCUCAGAAACGGUGAGACUAGAGUCCUAGAGAGGGUCGUGGAAUUCCCGGUGUAGCGGUGAAAUGCGUAGAGAUCGGGAGGAACACCAGAGGCGAAGGCGGCGACCUGGAUAGGAACUGACACUAAACUACGAAAGCGUGGGGAGCAAACAGG
rnacentral:rRNA from 1 species